GCUUCUCUGAUCUGACAUUUUCGUAGUUACCAAGUUCCCUCAGAUGAAGGAAGGGAGAACCCUAAUCUGAAGAGGGGAGGUCUGAAGUGGACAGGAACAGUAUCAAGGAGACCACAGGAGGCAAAACAUUAAAAGUUGAAGAAACAGCAUAAAUAACAGAAGACUGAAACUAAGCUGAUUGGAUCAAGGACAGACACCUGACCAAGGACAGUCACGCUGUGCUUUAUGUCCCGGCAGAAAAAGGCUCUGAUUUGUAUCCUAAAGGAGUAGUCCAACGGAAAUAGGCAAAUGCCAGCAAUGGGAGAAGAAUUAGACUCCACUUCUUGAUGAGAGAGUGAGAGAAGAACCUGAAACAAGGGCUUUAUGCAUAUGUUGCUAAAUCCAGUGGGACCAUCUGAGAAACCAUAUAAAAUGCAUAUCAGGUCUGUCCAUCCCAGGAGAGAAAGGUAUUGAUUCACAGAAUAGAAGAUGAUGAAUAAAUGUUUCUUCUGGAUUAAAGCCUCUAUUUCUGAAA
ensembl:lncRNA novel transcript